UACGUAGGGACCAAGCGUUGUUCGGAUUUACUGGGCGUAAAGGGCGCGUAGGCGGCAUGACAAGUCACUUGUGAAAUCUCUGGGCUUAACUCAGAACGGCCAAGUGAUACUGUCGCGCUAGAGUGCAGAAAGGGCAAUCGGAAUUCUUGGUGUAGCGGUGAAAUGCGUAGAUAUCGGGAGGAACAUCUGUGGCGAAGGCGGCUACCUGGACCAGCACUGACACUGAGGCACGAAAGCGUGGGGAGCAAACAGG
rnacentral:rRNA from 1 species